rnacentral:rRNA from 1 species
AGCAGCCGCGGUAAUUCCAGCUCCAAUAGCGUAUAUUAAAGUUGUUGCAGUUAAAAGCUCGUAGUUGAAUUUCGGGAUUUACGUGAUGGUCAUGCCUUAAGGGGUAUGAACUGUCACUGUUGAUUUCUCACCUUCUGGGGAAACUUGAUGUCCUUUAUUGGGUGUCUUGCGGAUCCAGGACCUUUACCUUGAAAAAUUAGAGUGUUUAAAGCAGGCAUUUUUGCUCGAAUACAUUAGCAUGGAAUAAUAGAAUAGGACGGCAUGGUUCUAUUUUGUUGGUUUCUAGGAUCACCGUAAUGAUUAAUAGGGAUAGUUGGGGGCAUUAGUAUUCAAUUGUCAGAGGUGAAAUUCUUGGAUUUAUUGAAGACUAACUACUGCGAAAGCAUUUGCCAAGGAUGUUUUCAUUAAUCAAGAACGAAAGUUAGGGGAUCGAAGACGAUCAGAUACCGUCGUAGUCUUAACCAUAAACUAUGCCGACUAGGAAUCAGACGAUGUUAAUUUUUAAUGACUCG